CGUUUUGUCGUCUAUCAUUUCAUUUUGUCAUGACGUUGCUAGUUUCUCUUCGACUUAUGAGUUAUAAAGUAAACAAUAUUUUAUCGUUUCUUGUCAUAUUUUGUGAAAAUCGUCUGUGAAAUUAAAGAAGAUAGCAAAAAGUAAAUACACUUUAAAUAAAAACUGUGGAAAAACAAUGAGAGGAUGAGAGAUUUUGUAUUUCAAAACACACAUUGUUUCACUAAUUAAUAAAGUUUAGUUUGUAACGAUAGUUAUGAUCUUAUCAUCAUCUGAUAAGUCUGCACAAUAAAGCAUUUAGCCAUUUUCAGUCUUUUAGUCAGUUUUAAGACAUUUGGUUUGUUUAUUUUUCAAAAUGAAACAUAUAAAAUUACAUUAUACAAUAUAAGACACAAAUUUAAAAAAAUAUUUAGCACUUGUAAGAUUGUUCAAGUUAUAAGGAUAUCAGAAAAUAUCUUACAGUUGAUUUGGUUAAUUAAAUGCUGCUUCUUACAAUUGCUACUCCAAACAUAUUUUAACUUUUUGUGCAAGAGUUUUUUUCUUUACUUAUCGAAUAUUUUAUCCCACCAUAUUUUGUGGGCAAUAUAAUUUACAUUUACAUUUGUAUAUAUAGAAUUUCAAUGAAAACAUAUAAUAAUUAAAGUGGUGUAAAAAUUAUGAUAAAGUGGUAUAAAACAUAUGAUAAAUUGGUAUGAAACAUAUGAUAAAUUGGUAUGAAACAUAUGAUAAAGUUGUAUAAAGACAUAUGAUAAAGUGGUGGAAAGACAUAUGAUAAAGUGGUAAAAAGACAUAUGAUAAAGCGGUAAAAAGGCAUAUGAUAAAGUGGUAUAAAAACAUAUGAUAAAGUUGAAUAAAGACAUAUCAUAAAAUGGUAGAAAAACAUAUGAUAAAGUGGUUAAAAGACAUAUGAUAAAGUGGUAUAAAGACAUAUGAUAAAGUUGUAUAAAGACAUAUGAUAAAGUGGUAUAAAGACAUGAUAAAGUGGUUAAAAGACAUAUUAUAAAGUAGUUAAAAGACAUAUGAUAAAGUGGUGAAAAGACAUAUGAUAAAGUUGUAAAAAGACAUAUGAUAAAGUGGUAUAAAGACAUAUGAUAAAGUGGUAUAAAGACAUAUGAUAAAGUUGUAUAAAGACAAAUCAUAAAAUGGUAGAAAAACAUAUGAUAAAGUGGUUAAAAGACAUAUUAUAAAGUUGUAUAAAGACAUAUGAAAAAGUGGUAUAAAGGCAUAUGAUAAAGUGAUAAAAAGGCAUAUGAUAAAGUGGUAUACAAACAUAUGAUAAAGUUGUAUAAAGACAUAUGAUUAAGUGGUAUAAAGACAUAUGAUAUAGUGGUAUAAGGACAUAUGAUAAAAUGGUAUAAAGACAUAUGAUAAAGUUGUAUAAAGACAUAUGAUAAAGUGGUUAAAAGACAUAUUAUAAAUUAGUUAAAAGACAUAUGAUAAAGUGGUGAAAAGAUAUAUCAUAAAAUUGUAAAAAGACAUAUGAUUCAGUGGUGAAAAGACAUAUGAUAAAGUGGUAUAAAGACAUAUGAUAAAGUGGUAUAAAGACAUAUGAUUAAGUUGUAUAAAGACAUAUGAUAAAAUGGUUAAAAGACAUAUUAUAAAGUAGUUAAGAGACAUAUGAUAAAGUGGAGAAAAGACAUAUGAUAAAAUUGUAAAAAGACAUAUGAUAAAGUUGUGGAAAGACAUAUGAUAAAGUGGUAUAAAGACAUAUGAUAAAGUGGUUAAAAGACAUAUGAUAAAGUGGUGAAAAGAUAUAUGAUAAAGUUGUGUAAAGACAGAUGAUAAAGUGGUAUAAAGACAUAUGAUAAAGUGGUAUAAAGACAUAUGAUAAAGUGGUAUAAAGACAUAUGAUAAAGUUGUAUAAAGACAUAUGAUAAAGUGGUUAAAAGACAUAUUAUAAAGUAGUUAAAAGACAUAUGAUAAAGUGGUGAAAAGACAUAAGAUAAAAUUGUAAAAAGACAUAUGAUAAAGUUGUAAAAAGACAUAUGAUAAAGUGGUGAAAAGACAUAUGAUAAAGUGGUAUAAAGACAUAUGAUAAAGUGGUUAAAAGACAUAUGUUAAAGUGGUGAAAAGAUAUAUGAUAACGUUGUAAAUAGAAUAUGAUAAAGUGGUAUAAAGACAUAAGAUAAAGUUGUAUAAAGAAAUAUAAUACAAUGGCAAAAAGACAUAUGAUAGAGUGGUAUAAAAACAUAUAAUAAAGUGUUAUAAAAUAUACUGAAAGUGGUAGAAAGACAUAUGAUGAAGGAUUAUAAAAGCAUAUUGUAAAGUGGCAGAAAGGCAUAUGACAUGUCAAAGGGUUAUAAAAGCAUAUUGUAAAGUGGAAGAAAGACAUAUGAUAAAGGGUUAUAAAAGCAUAUUGUAAAGUGGUAGAAAGACAUAUGAUAAAGGGUUAUAAAAGCAUAUUGUAAAGUGGUAAAAAGACAUAUGAUAAAGGGUUACAAAAGCAUAUUUUAAAGUGGUAGAAAGACAUAUGAUAAAGGGUUAUAAAAGCAUAUUGUAAAGUGGUAGAAAGAUAUAUGAUAAAGGGUUAUAAAGCAUAUUGUAAAGUGGCAGAAAGGCAUAUGACAAAGGGUUAUAAAAGCAUAAUGUAAAGUGGAAGAAAGACAUAUGAUUAGGGUUAUAAAGCAUAUUGUAAAGUGGUAGAAAGACAUAUGAUAAAGUGUUAAUAUAAAAGCAUAUUGUAAAGCGGUAGGAAGACAUAUGAUAAAGUGUUAUAAAAGCAUAUUGUAAAGUGGUAUAAAGACAUAGUAUGUAGGUGUAUGUGAAGCCACAUUUACUAUUGUUCUUGUUAUGUUGAUAAUAUUCCACACUUGUGUAUAUGUUACAAGCAUUUUGUAAAAUGACCGAAUUUUCAGGUAACUAACAAAAUGCUUAAACUUGACAAACAUAUAGUACAAUGACUUAUCCAUCCGUUUAAUGUGUUUUAGUUUUUAAUUUUGCCAUUUGAUAAAGGACUUUCCGUUUUGAAUUUUCCUUGGAGUUGUGAAUUUUUAUUAUUUUAUUUAUUUUUUAAUUAGCUGUAAUUUUGAAACAAAAUUCAACAAAUUGCCAGUUCAGUUUCAGGUUAUUUGUAGAAUAAGAAUAUCGUUGAGAUAUGAUCAAAACACACUUUCUUGUAAAGAAAAUACCUAAUGGUACAGUGAAAUUAAGUUUUUUCUUUCAAUACCAGCUGGGAAAGUUUGUAUGUCUGUAAUAGGUUCUUUUUAGUAAAACUACAAAUGUACUUUUGUACAAACUUUGUAUUUUAGACAGUAA